rnacentral:rRNA from 1 species
UGCAGUCGACGAUGAUGCCGAGCUUGCUGGGUGGAUUAGUGGCGAACGGGUGAGUAACACGUGAGUAACCUGCCCUUGACUCUGGGAUAAGCGCUGGAAACGGCGUCUAAUACCGGAUACGACCUGCCCCGGCAUCGGGUGCGGGUGGAAAGUUUUUCGGUCAAGGAUGGACUCGCGGCCUAUCAGGUAGUUGGUGAGGUAAUGGCUCACCAAGCCGACGACGGGUAGCCGGCCUGAGAGGGUGACCGGCCACACUGGGACUGAGACACGGCCCAGACUCCUACGGGAGGCAGCAGUGGGGAAUAUUGCACAAUGGGCGAAAGCCUGAUGCAGCAACGCCGCGUGGGGGAUGACGGCCUUCGGGUUGUAAACCUCUUUUAGUAGGGAAGAAGGGCUUCGGCUUGACGGUACCUGCAGAAAAAGCACCGGCUAACUACGUGCCAGCAGCCGCGGUAAUACGUAGGGUGCAAGCGUUGUCCGGAAUUAUUGGGCGUAAAGAGCUCGUAGGCGGUUUGUCGCGUCUGCUGUGAAAACCCGAGGCUCAACCUCGGGCCUGCAGUGGGUACGGGCAGACUAGAGUGCGGUAGGGGAGAAUGGAAUUCCUGGUGUAGCGGUGGAAUGCGCAGAUAUCAGGAGGAACACCGAUGGCGAAAGCAGUUCUCUGGGCCGUUACUGACGCUCAGGAGCGAAAGCGUGGGGAGCGAACAGGAUUAGAUACCCUGGUAGUCCACGCCGUAAACGUUGGGAACUAGAUGUGGGGACCUUUCCACGGUCUCCGUGUCGCAGCUAACGCAUUAAGUUCCCCGCCUGGGGAGUACGG